UACGGAGGGUGCAAACGUUGCUCGGAAUCAUUGGGCGUAAAGCGCACGUAGGCGGUCUGUUAAGUCGGAUGUGAAAGCCCCGGGCUCAACCCGGGAAGUGCAUACGAAACUGGCGGACUUGAAUAUGGAAGAGGGUCGCGGAAUUCCCGGUGUAGAGGUGAAAUUCGUAGAUAUCGGGAGGAACACCAGUGGCGAAGGCGGCGACCUGGGCCAAUAUUGACGCUAAUGUGCGAAAGCGUGGGGAGCAAACAAG
rnacentral:rRNA from 1 species